GGGUUGUGAGGUUAAGCGACUAAGCGUACACGGUGGAUGCCCUGGCAGUCAGAGGCGAUGAAGGACGUGCUAAUCUGCGAAAAGCGUCGGUAAGGUGAUAUGAACCGUUAUAACCGGCGAUGUCCGAAUGGGGAAACCCAGUGUGAUUCGUCACACUAUCGUUAACUGAAUACAUAGGUUAACGAGGCGAACCGGGGGAACUGAAACAUCUAAGUACCCCGAGGAAAAGAAAUCAACCGAGAUUCCCCCAGUAGCGGCGAGCGAACGGGGAGCAGCCCAGAGUCUGAAUCAGCUUGUGUGUUAGUGGAACGGUCUGGAAAGUCCGACGGUACAGGGUGAUAGUCCCGUACACCAAAAUGCACAGGUUGUGAACUCGAAGAGUAGGGCGGGACACGUGGUAUCCUGUCUGAAUAUGGGGGGACCAUCCUCCAAGGCUAAAUACUCCUGACUGACCGAUAGUGAACCAGUACCGUGAGGGAAAGGCGAAAAGAACCCC
rnacentral:rRNA from 1 species